rnacentral:tRNA from 1 species
GGGUGUAGCUCAGUGGAAGAGCACCUGCAUAGCAUGCACAAGGUCCUGGGUUCAAUUCCCAGUACUUCCA